CCCUGCCGGGGCUAAAGUGCUGACAGUGCAGAUAGUGGUCCUCUCCGUGCUACCGCACUGUGGGUACUUGCUGCUCCAGCAGGG
rnacentral:pre_miRNA from 23 species